UCCUACGGGAGGCAGCAGUAGGGAAUAUUGGUCAAUGGAUGCAAGUCUGAACCAGCCAUGCCGCGUGCAGGAAGAAGGCCCUAUGGGUUGUAAACUGCUUUUGCCAGGGGAUAAAACGAGCAUGCGUGCUUAAUUGAAGGUACCUGGUGAAUAAGCCACGGCUAACUACGUGCCAGCAGCCGCGGUAAU
rnacentral:rRNA from 1 species